rnacentral:rRNA from 1 species
UACGGGGGGAGCAAGCGUUGUUCGGAUUUACUGGGCGUAAAGGGCGCGUAGGCGGUCGUGACAAGUCACUUGUGAAAUCUCCGGGCUUAACUCGGAACGGUCAAGUGAUACUGUCGGACUAGAGUACAGAAGGGGCAACUGGAAUUCUCGGUGUAGCGGUGAAAUGCGUAGAUAUCGAGAGGAACACCUGCGGCGAAGGCGGGUUGCUGGGCCGACACUGACGCUGGACAGCGCGAAAGCUAGGGGAGCGAACGGG